CAACACGGAUCUCUUGGUUCUGGCAUCGAUGAGAACGCAGCGAAAUGCGAUAAGUAAUGUGAAUUGCAGAAUUCAGUGAAUCAUCGAAUCUUUAACGCACAUUGCACCCGGUGGUAUUCCGCCGGGUAUGCCUGUUCGAGCGUCAUUAUAACCACUCAAGCCUGUCUUGGUGUUGGGGAUUGCGAAUCUCGCAGCCCUAGAGUCCAGUAGCGUCACCUGUAGGUCCUAAGCGUAGUAAUUUCUCCUCGCUACAGAACCUGCCGGUGGAUAGUGUAAAUCCAGUUAAGUCUGGUAUCCCGCUAUUAAACCCCCAAAUUUUAAAGGUUGACCUCGGAUCAAGUAGGGAUACCCGCUGAACUUAAGCAUAUCAAUAAGCGGAGGAAAAGAAACCAACAGGGAUUACCUUAGUAACGGCGAGUGAAGCGGUAACUGCUCAAAUUUGAAAGCUGCCAACAGGCCGCGUUGUAAUUUGUAGAAGAUGCUUUGGGUGUCGGCCCAGUCUAAGUUCCUUGGAACAGGACGUCAUAGAGGGUGAGAAUCCCGUAUGUGAUUGGUGCCGUCCCCCGUGUAAAGCUCUUUCGACGAGUCGAGUUGUUUGGGAAUGCAGCUCAAAAUGGGUGGUAAAUUUCAUCUAAAGCUAAAUAUUGGCCAGAGACCGAUAGCGCACAAGUAGAGUGAUCGAAAGAUGAAAAGCACUUGGAAAGAGAGUUAAACAGUACGUGAAAUUGUUGAAAGGGAAGCGCUUGCAAUCAGACUUGCAGGCGGUUGAUCAUCCGAGGUUCUCCCCGGUGCACUCGAUCGUCUUCAGGCCAGCAUCGGUUUCAGUGGUGGGAUAAAGGCUGUGAGAACGUGGCUCUUCGGAGUGUUAUAGCUCACGGUGCAAUGCCGCCUACGGGGACCGAGGACCGCGUUCGGCUAGGAUGCUGGCGUAAUGGUUGUAAGCGACCCGUCUUGAAACACGGACCAAGGAGUCUAACAUCUAUGCGAGUGUUUGGGUGUCAAACCCAUACGCGUAAUGAAAGUGAACGGAGGUGAGACCCCAUUAGGGCGCAUCAUCGACCGAUCCUGAUGUCUUCGGAUGGAUUUGAGUAAGAGCAUAGCUGUUGGGACCCGAAAGAUGGUGAACUAUGCGUGAAUAGGGUGAAGCCAGAGGAAACUCUGGUGGAGGCUCGCAGCGGUUCUGACGUGCANAUCGAUCGUCAAAUUUGCGUA
rnacentral:rRNA from 1 species